rnacentral:rRNA from 1 species
UACGAAGGGAGCUAGCGUUGUUCGGAAUCACUGGGCGUAAAGCGCACGUAGGCGGAUGUGUCAGUCAGGGGUGAAAUCCCGGAGCUCAACUUCGGAACUGCCCUUGAUACAGCACGUCUUGAGUCCGAGAGAGGUGAGUGGAAUUCCUAGUGUAGAGGUGAAAUUCGUAGAUAUUAGGAAGAACACCAGUGGCGAAGGCGGCUCACUGGCUCGGUACUGACGCUGAGGUGCGAAAGCGUGGGGAGCAAACAGG